UCUGGAUAAACUUGUAUCCAUCCAAGAGAAUGGAACAAGUCACUUUACAGAGUUAUAACAAGCAACACAUUUUGGGCUUGCUAAAGACUUACAUACAAGUGAAAGUUUGAAAUGUUUGGAUAACCGUACAUCCUUCAAUAUUUUAUAUUGUAAAAGUAAUCUUGAAUAAUAAUUAUUAAGUUUUCAAGUUACGGUAUG
ncrna:unclassified sequences IS605-orfB-I RNA